rnacentral:rRNA from 1 species
GACGUAGGAUGCAAGCGUUGUCCGGAUUUAUUGGGCGUAAAGAGUUCGUAGGUGGUUUGUUAAGUCUGAUGUUAAAGACUGAGGCUCAACCUCGGGAGUGCAUUGGAUACUGGCAGACUAGAGUAUGGUAGAGGCAAGCGGAAUUCCCAGUGUAGCGGUGAAAUGCGUAGAUAUUGGGAAGAACACCGGUGGCGUAGGCGGCUUGCUGGGCCAUAACUGACACUGAGGAACGAAAGCCAGGGGAGCGAAU